rnacentral:rRNA from 1 species
GAUGAACGCUAGCGGAAGGCAUAAUACAUGCAAGUCGAACGGAUGUAGCAAUACAUUAGUGGCGCACGGGUGCGUAACGCGUAUGCAACCUACCUUCAUCAGGGGGAUAACUACCCGAAAGGGUGGCUAACACCGCAUAAUACUAUUGAGUGGCAUCACUUGAUAUUUAAAUCUGAGGAGGAUGAAGAUGGGCAUGCGUCUGAUUAGCUAGUUGGUGUGGUAACGGCGCACCAAGGCGACGAUCAGUAGGGGAACUGAGAGGUUGGUCCCCCACACUGGUACUGAGAUACGGGCCAGACUCCUACGGGAGGCAGCAGUAGGGAAUAUUGGUCAAUGGUGGGAACACUGAACCGGCCAUUCCGCGUGCAGGAAGAAGGGUCUCUGACUUGUAAACUGCUUUAGCAAGGGAAGAAAAAGCUCAUGCGUGAGAAAUUGACGGUACCUUGAGAAUAAGCACCGGCUAACUACGUGCCAGCCGCCGCUGUAAUAC